rnacentral:rRNA from 1 species
UACGGGGGGGGGCAAGCGUUGUUCGGAAUUACUGGCGUAAAGCGCACGCAGGCGGUUGCGCGCGUGGGGUGUGAAAGUCUGGCCGCUUAACGGCCAGGCGCCAUCCCAUACGGCGCGACUGGAGUGAUGCAGAGGUCGAUGGAAUUGCCGGUGUAGUGGUGAAAUGCGUAGAGAUCGGCAGGAACACCCAGGGGGGAAACCAGUCGACUGGGCAUCGUACUGACGCUGAGGU